rnacentral:rRNA from 1 species
UACGUAGGCAGCGAGCGUUGUUCGGAAUUACUGGGCGUAAAGAGUGUGUAGGCGGUGCUCUAAGUUCGGUGUGAAAUCUCCUGCUUAACUGGGAGGGUGCGCCGAAAACUGGAGUGCUCGAGCGUGGGAGAGGAAAGCGGAAUUCCUGGUGUAGCGGUGAAAUGCGUAGAUAUCAGGAGGAACACCGGUGGUGUAAACGGCUCUCUGGACCGUAACUGACGCUGAGACACGAAAGCGUGGGUAGCAAACAGG